UCAAACAAUGAAAUGCUUGCUUUGAUGAGUCUUCGAUGCGGGUUAUGAAGGUAGCAAUCAUUAAGGGAAAAAUUACAUGAACUGCCAACGCGGGUUUUGAAUUUUUCUGCAAUGUCGCUAUCUUUAUAUCCCGCAUGAAUCACUAACGAAAGCAUGUUUUAGUUUAAAUGUGGACACAAACUGGGUCAUCAGCAGGUGCUUAGCAACAUUUUCCUAACUAACGUUGGACAACUUAGCUUAUACUGUCGGUACAGCUCUCAAUUUCCCGGUUUAGCUGAAAAGUGGACAAAAUUCCUCCCUAGUCUCGUCGGCAACCAUGUACGAUUACAGAUAACAGGAGCGUAGUGGAUGCUUGAUAUACAACUUUGUUGCCUAUGAUGUUCUCACUAUCAGAAAAAAUACUUGUUCUCACUAUGAGAAAAAAUACUUGUGAAAUUAUUUAAUAUCACUCUUAUGCGUCUUUUUUCACGCAAUUGUUGGUUAAAUAGGUGCAUAAUCAACACAGAGGCUCUUCUUUGUAGGCUAGAGGUGAAACUAAAAAUUCAUAUAUAAGACCUUUCCAAUACCCAGUUGGCAGCAUUCAUCAAUUUUUUAAUUCUUUCACCCGGUGUAUUUCCCUUUGUAUUCUUUUAAAGCAUAACGCGUUGCAUUUUAAUAAGUGUGUUAUUGUAUAUAUUGAGUAUUGUUUUUUCUUUAAAACUUCCAUCAAUUUUAAAAUAAUUAAACAAGAACUUGAUUAUCUCUGCCAACAGUAAUGAUGAUCGUGUAAUAUAACAUCAUAACAUAAAGAAGACUUGUUAAUAGUACAGUUCCCAUGUUAUUGACUUUGUGAUUUUUAUUUUGCCUCUGCUUAAAUUAAAUAUCAAUGGAUGUUGACAUAAUAUCACAUAACAGUCGCAGAGUCUCGAUACUGCGGGUUAAGUAAACGCCUGCAUGCAUAGAUACCAACCUAUGUUAUACGUAGUUAAGCGUAGACAUUGGAUUUAGUUUUGUAUUCGAAAAUUGAUAAUAUGCUGCCAUAGUUGAUUCUGAAAUUCCUUUUUCUAGUUUCAGUAACAAGUUAAAAUUUAUGCUUAAUUUAGGUUUAUUUUAUGUGACCUCAUCAAGGUAACGUAAAUAUUUCCUUCAAUAUGCCGUUGUUUGUGUUUAUAGGUUUUGCUGGUUGAUUUAACUAAAUUCAUUCGAUUGGUGCAAGUUUUAACAACGGUAUUUCAUUCUAGUCAUAUGAUUUAGUUUAAUGAUUUUCUAUUAUUGUCGAGGACCGUAUAUACAUGUACAUGUAUUCUGAUUAUCAUAACAUAGAUAUUAUUAUCAUCGAUUUAAGACAAUUAUUCUGCUUCGGUUUGUGUCGAUUUUGUAAAGAUUUCAUUAGUUAUUAAUUUAAAAAUAUAUGCAUUAGCAUUCAGGAAAUCAAAGAGAAGAUUUUUUUAUAGACACAAUUUAAAGAGACAAAAAUAAGAUAUGUAUAAAUCUUUUAUAUUCAUGAUUAACUAGUAUGUUGAAAUAGGUAUAAUUGAAUAUUUAUUUUUUACAGGCCCGGCAUAAAUCAAAAUCAUGUUAAUCUUUUGUAAACACAUAAACAGGAAUGUUCAUUUGUGCAUAUAUAUGCCGUUACUCUAUCUCGCUGCGUAUGCCCAAGCUGCAAUUGAAUGUGCACACACUUCAAAUGAUUGGAAUAAGGCAAGUGCAUAUAUGCAGUGCCAGAAGCCAAAAUAUUAUCAUUGCCUGAUAGACGAAUAUGGACGUUUGAUUCAAAAGUGUUUUCAAAGAAUAUUAGUCCCGAAAGGAAUGUGUCCAACGUUCAACAGUAAAUCCGGACAGAUGGAUGUGUAUGAAUGCCAAUCUAGUCAAAACGAUUGCCCAUCUACCUAUUUUUGGUCGAAUGAAGUACAUAAUUAUCAGGGUUGUAUUAGUACUUCUAGAUCACCAACACUAGAGAAUGUCACAUUACCAACAACAUUGUUCCUCACAUCAACAACAUCAAGGGUUCGCGGCAUCUCCCGUUUUUUUGGUGGCAUCUUCGAUAUUUCAACCAUAUUGACAAUAGUGAUAUCAAUCGCUGCAGUUUUAUGUGUCGCUAUUUUAAUCAGGAUGGUGAUGUUUCAAAGACGAGAAUAAUAUAAGAACAAAGGUUUAAAUAAUUCUUAUAUGUUACUAGUAUUUGAAAAGCCAUCGAGAUGAAAAUGUCAUUUCAUAAGCCAAAAAAAAAACGGCAAAGAUUUCCUUGCAAGUCAUAAAAAUUAGCCUGUUUAGCCUUGCCUUAGACACGUUUUACGAAUAGACAAACCAUACUUUUUCUGUAUAACCAUACAUAUUUACAUUUAAAGAAUUCUACUAUUACUGGUUACAUUUACAUGCAUACGGUUGUGGUUUUAAAACCGAAGCCCUCGGUUAAGCUUAUAAUUGGUCUAGUACCUGUGUAAUGAAGUGAGACUUCCUAUCUAAAAACUGGCUAUAUAGUGAGCAUGCAUUCCUCUGUCGUCCCCCUUAACCGAAUAGAUUAAGCUUAACAUGCUCGGCUUGAGUUUUAUUUAACUAGAUAAGUUAGAAAUUGAUUUAAAUCUUUAUAGAUCUUAAUUAUAUGGGCGCUUGAACUGAAUAAUGUGAAUUGAUAUACAAAAUGUUAAUUAUAUGUAAGAAAAUGCUUCUAUAGCACCAAAUAAA